CAGUCGCCACGGGAAUACGGAGGGCGCGAGCGUUACCCGGAUUUACUGGGCGUAAAGGGCGUGUAGGCGGCCUGGGGCGUCCCAUGUGAAAGGCCACGGCUCAACCGUGGAGGAGCGUGGGAUACGCUCAGGCUAGAGGGUGGGAGAGGGUGGUGGAAUUCCCGGAGUAGCGGUGAAAUGCGCAGAUACCGGGAGGAACGCCGAUGGCGAAGGCAGCCACCUGGUCCACUUCUGACGCUGAGGCGCGAAAGCGUGGGGAGCAAACCGGAUUAGAGACCCCCGUAGUCCCUGUCUCUUAUAC
rnacentral:rRNA from 1 species